rnacentral:rRNA from 1 species
GACGAACGCUGGCGGCGUGCCUAACACAUGCAAGUCGAGCGAGGGGAGUUUCUUCGGAAACAAACCUAGCGGCGGACGGGUGAGUAACACGUGGGCAACCUGCCUUAUAGUGGGGAAUAGCCUCCCGAAAGGGAGAUUAAUACCGCAUAAUAUUACACUUUCGCAUGAAGGAGUAAUUAAAGGAGCAAUUCGCUAUAAGAUGGGCCCGCGGCGCAUUAGCUAGUUGGUGAGGUAACGGCUCACCAAGGCGACGAUGCGUAGCCGACCUGAGAAGGUGAUCGGCCACAUUGGGACUGAGACACGGCCCAGACUCCUACGGGAGGCAGCAGUGGGGAAUAUUGCACAAUGGGGGAAACCCUGAUGCAGCAACGCCGCGUGAGUGAUGAAGGUCUUCGGAUCGUAAAGCUCUGUCUUCAGGGACGAUAAUGACGGUACCUGAGGAGGAAGCCACGGCUAACUACGUGCCAGCAGCCGCCGUAACAC